rnacentral:rRNA from 1 species
AUACGGAGGGGGCUAGCGUUGUUCGGAAUUACUGGGCGUAAAGCGCGCGUAGGCGGCUUAUCAAGUUAGGCGUGAAAGGCCUGGGCUCAACCCGGGAACUGCGCUUAAUACUGGUAGACUUGAGUCCGGGAGAGGGUGGCGGAAUUCCCAGUGUAGAGGUGAAAUUCGUAGAUAUUGGGAAGAAAACCAGUUGCGAAGGCGGCUACCUGGCCCGGUACUGACGCUGAGGUGCGAAAGCGUGGGGAGCAAACAGGAUUAGAAACCCCAGUAGUCC